GCGGGAGCGGCGCGGGGCCGCGCCCGCCGGGAGGGAGCGGCGGCGGGCCCCGCCCCGAGGAGAUCCCCCUGCCAGGGGUCCGGCUGCCCUCUUCCCCCGGGGAGCGCGACCCGGGCCUCCCGGAGGGCCGGCAGAGAGAGGGACAGAGGGAGGGGGCGGCUUCCCGCUCCCCUCUCUCGGCGGGAACCGGCGGGAUGGCGGCGGUGCCCGGCGGAAGGCGAGCGCCGUAGGUAGCCAGCACCCUUGGCUGUGUGGAUUUUGGCUGAGAUGGUGAGGAGUGCUGCAACCCAAGUGUGAUUCCACCGCCAACUCCAUCAGUGCUUCAUACUGAGAAUGGGUCUGAGGGAGAUGGAAAAGACCUGCUGGGUUCCAGGGAGGAAGGCAGGCAAGCCAGAAGCAGAGACAAAGGAUAUCCUUGUAAUGCUGACGGUGAAGAGACAACGGAUUUUUCACCUUUCAAGGAACUUCCUACACCAAGUGAUCCUCCAACAGUCCUUCCACCAUUGGAGGAUUAUGCUCUGGGUCCUUCAAAUCCUGAGUCAGAUUUUCUCUCAGAAAGAAGUCUGCCAACUUUAGUAGUGGCAGGAGUCAGCAUUGCCCUUGUGUUGCUUUGUAUUCUUAUAGUCUCUAUUUUUUGGUAUGCAUGGAAAAAAUCACAAGAAGGCUCGAUUGAACUCAAUCCUCUCCCCUACGGUGAGGCUGGGGUGUCCUUAGGGAGCCCUUCGGUGCCGGAGCCCCAGCAGGAGUGGCCUUCUGAGAAAGCAGUGCAGUGAGAGCAGGAGAGCUCAUCACCCUCGGGGAGGAAAGGAAAGCCCUCUCGAUUGUAGAUAGUUGAACAGCACUCUCAAAAGAGCUGUAUCUGAAAAAAAAAAAGUUACAUUCUUGAAGUGAUAAAUGUCCUUCUUAGGGAAAAUGCCACGCUUAGACUAUUUUCUAAUCAAUUAAACCUACACAGGAACAUGACCACUGUUGAGAUUAACUGGAAUGGCCACUGUUUAUGCUUGUAUGCCUGUGAAUUUCCUACUGGAAAUGGCUUCUGGAAGAUUUUAGCUUCCAAAAUCUGGCUUGAGCCACAACUAGUUUACCAGCAUAAACAGUGUUAUUCCAGUGCCUGGGAGUUUCCUAGUCAUUGUUUUAUUUGCUAGUCUAGAUAUUGUUAUCAUUUACAGUUUAUUUUAAAUUACACAGUUGAUACACCCACCCACUCCUGGUCAGGGAUUAUUCAAAGAUGACCACUGCAAACCUUUGUUUGUUCAUUCUGCUACUCAGUGGAGGAAGUAGUGGAAGCAUGACAGUGUCAUCCAAUAAAAUUCAGGGGUUUGGGCUUAAUUGAUUCUUA
rnacentral:lncRNA from 1 species